UUGCUUAAUAAGCCUUAAGUUACCUUCAACUGCCAUCAGCUGUAUCCUUUUGCCUUUCAAUGACAAUGUCAAGAGCUCCAUCUGGGAGGCAUAAAAAGACCUCCAAGAGCAAGUUUGGUUGUACCUUCUUUACUCUCAAGUCUGGGGAACUGAACUGAUCUUUGUGCUUGCAGGUGACUGGCAAUACAGAAGUACAGAACCUUUUAAAAUGCUCACCCUUUCAGCAUUUCACAAAGGACUGGGGCAGCUUGAAGCCUAUGUUGGUAUGGAUGAAGGGGUGGCUUUCCAGAUGGACAACAAAAUGUACUGGGACUCUCAUAGUACUGGUUCCCCAUGGGCCAUCCAGGGUAUAGGGAAAAAGAAACAGUCAAGCAAGUUUUGGAUCAACCAACUCCCCUCAGGAAAAGUGAUGUUGAGGAACAUGAUAGGCAUGUAUCUUGCCCCAGUAGAAACAAAAAUAGAUCCCGGAAUAUUUCCUAUCCAACUUGUCCAAUAUUCGGAAAGUCCAUGCCUGACAUUUGAAGUCUUUUAUAGAGGUAACAAAGUAGCUCUCCGGACCUAUAAUGGACUCUUCUUGGGAAGAGUGUACAGAGGGGCCGACACAUUGGAAGCAAGCUUGUUCUUUCCUGAGGAGAACUGUUUUUUCCGUCCUCUGAUUGGAGACCUUAACCCCCCUGCUUUUUCAUUACUGAGUCUGAACCUAAGUGGCCUCACGGCGGCAAACACAGCUUCACAUCUUGUGGGUCAGCAGAAGUUUGUGAACACAACAGAGGAACCAAAGGAGCAUACUUUCACCAUCACUUGGAAUUUGGAAACUAUUGACAGAACUUCAUGGUCUCAUUUGUGGGGCCUUGGCAUCCAUUCUGUAUUUGAUUUCUCCGUUGGGGGGGCAAAGCCCAUAUUGGUGUACUCCAAGGACAAUGAGCACAGCCCCUGUGUGCAGAGGGAUAUUUCUGAGACGCUAACACAGCAGAUGGAUGUGCCUCCCAUGUGUGAAGCCUGCGCUUCCCUCUUUGUUGACAACUAUGUUCUUGCUGUCCUGCCAUUCACAGCUGUUAUUCGCAAGGUUAUGCCUAGCGGGGCUUGGGUGGACCUCAACGAAAAUGGAGCCUGGAUGGGGCUUUACUAUGAAAACCUCCGAAUGGAAGUGAAGCACAAAUAUCUUCAUAAAUAGUGCCCAGCCAUGUGAAGCAAUAAGAAUGGGUGACUUUACAAGGGAAGUUGUAUUGUGGAUCACAAAUGGCCCUAACCAAAAGAAAUGUGAGCAGUAAGACUCUGCAGCAUUCUGGUUUAGGUAGUAUGAUUUUGAUGACUUAUUCUCCCUCCCCUGGAGUAUUUCUACCAGGUCCUUUUUAAUUCCCAGGUGCCUGAAGAAAACAAAAUGAUGGUUCCUUUUUAUAGCAAGAGGGAGAGCCCUCCUCAACUUGUAGCAUAAUAAUUCGGAUGUAAAUAAACUGGUGAAACCUUUGUAUUGGGGGGAAAA